rnacentral:tRNA from 1 species
GGGCCCGUGGCGUAACGGCUAUCGCGUUUCCAUGGCAUGGAAAAGAUUAGGGGUUCAAAUCCCCUCGGGUCCACUA